ACGCUCGACACCUACGGGAGCAGCAGUGGGGAAUAUUGCACAAUGGGGGAAACCCUGAUGCAGCGACGCCGCGUGAAGGAAGAAGUAUCUCGGUAUGUAAACUUCUAUCAGCAGGGAAGAAAGUGACGGUACCUGACUAAGAAGCCCCGGCUAACUACGUGCUAGCAGCCGCGGUAAUCUGAGCGGGCUGGCAAGGC
rnacentral:rRNA from 1 species